CCUACGGGCGACUGCAGUGGGGAAUAUUGGGCAAUGGACGCAAGUCUGACGCAGCAACGCCGCGUGAAGGAAGAAGGCUUUCGGGUUGUAAACUUCUGUUAAGGGGGAAGAGCAGAAGACGGUACCCCUUGAAUAAGCCACGGCUAACUACGUGCCAGCAGCCGCGGUAAUACGUAGGUGGCAAGCGUUGUCCGGAUUUACUGGGUGGAAAGGGCGUGCAGCCGGGCCGACAAGUCAGAUGUGAAAUCCGCGGGCUUAACGCGCGAACUGCAUUUGAAACUAUUGGUCUUGAGUACCGGAGAGGUUAUCGGAAUUCCAUGUGUAGGGGUGAAAUGCGUAGAUAUAAGGAAGAACAUCAGUGGCGAAGGCGAAUGACUGGACGGCAACUGACGGUGAGGCGCGAAAGCGUGGGUAUCGAACAGGAUUAGAUACCCCUGUAGUC
rnacentral:rRNA from 1 species